GAUGAACGCUGGCGGCGUGCUUAACACAUGCAAGUCGAACGAAGCACUUCGGUUUUAAUCUUCGGAAGCGAACCGAUUUGACUGAGUGGCGGACGGGUGAGUAACGCGUGGGUAACCUGCCCUGUACAGGGGGAUAACAGUUAGAAAUGACUGCUAACACCGCAUAAGCGCACAGUAAGGCAUCUUACGGUGCGAAAAUAUUUAUAGGUACAGGAUGGGCCCGCGUCUGAUUAGCUUGUUGGCGGGGUAACGGCCCACCAAGGCGACGAUCAGUAGCCGGCUUGAGAGAGUGAACGGCCACAUUGGGACUGAGACACGGCCCAAAACUCCUACGGGAGGCAGCAGUGGGGAAUAUUGCACAAUGGGGGAAACCCUGAUGCAGCGACGCCGCGUGAGUGAAGAAGUAUUUCGGUAUGUAAAAGCUCUAUCAGCAGGGAAGAAAAAUGACGGUACCUGACUAAGAAGCCACCGGCUUAAAAUACGUG
rnacentral:rRNA from 1 species